rnacentral:rRNA from 1 species
GACGAACGCUGGCGGCGUGCUUAACACAUGCAAGUCGAGCGGAGAUUGAUCGAAGAGCAAUCAGAGAUUGAUUUUAGCGGCGGACGGGUGAGUAACGCGUGGGCAACCUACCUCACACAGGGGGAUAACACUGGGAAACUAGUGCUAAUACCGCAUAAGAUCAUAGGAGGGCAUCCUGAAGUGAUCAAAGGAGAAAUCCGGUGAGAGAUGGGCCCGCGUCCGAUUAGCUAGUUGGCGGUGUAACGGACCACCAAGGCGACGAUCGGUAGCCGAACUGAGAGGUUGAUCGGCCACAUUGGGACUGAGACACGGCCCAGACUCCUACGGGAGGCAGCAGUGGGGAAUAUUGCGCAAUGGGGGGAACCCUGACGCAGCAACGCCGCGUGAAGGAUGAAGGUUUUCGGAUCGUAAACUUCUUUGAUGAGGGACGAAAGCAGACGGUACCUCAAAAACAAGCCACGGCUAACUACGUG